UACGGGGGGGGCAAGCGUUGUUCGGAAUUACUGGGCGUAAAGGGCUCGUAGGCGGCCAACUAAGUCAGACGUGAAAUCCCUCGGCUUAACCGGGGAACUGCGUCUGAUACUGGAUGGCUUGAGAUUGGGAGAGGGAUGCGGAAUUCCAGGUGUAGCGGUGAAAUGCGUAGAUAUCUGGAGGAACACCGGUGGCGAAGGCGGCAUCCUGGACCAACACCGACGCUGAGGAGCGAAAGCCAGGGGAGCAAACGGG
rnacentral:rRNA from 1 species